UUUUAAAGUGUUUAAUCUAUAAAAACUUGGGACUCAGGUUUAGCAUUACAUCAGGUUCUUACAGCAAACUGGAACAUUCAGAAACAAGAUGGUCACCUCGAAAUGCCUGAAGGCUAAAGCUAAUGGUUUUAGCAAAGCUGUCUACAGGAAACCUUCAUUUAUUACAGCUCUUGAAUAUUCUCACGAUAAAGUGACGAAGACUGACAGAAACUGGUUCUGAAAAUCAUUUAUUAAAUCUUGUACAGUUAGAAGCAGCAGAAGAACUUCUGGAACAUGAGACCUGCAACACAAAGAGUUAGUCAGCUGGCAGCAGAUCCACAGAGCAGAUCCUGAGAGCUCAGAGACCCACCUCCAACAUGUUCAGUAGGCUUUAACUGGAACUUGAUCACCCUUUGGAGGCAGGUAGCCUUUCGGAGGCAGGCGUCUACAGCUACCAGAGCACUGACCAGACCUCUGACCAGACCCCUGAUGGGCCCUUCUUCACUGAUGUGUCCGAUCUGGAUCCAGUCUACAACUUCCACUCUCGGUCCCGCUACAGGAGAGGAAGAGCCCAUUUCUCUCAGACCCGCUACGUCCCCACUGACUCUCUGUACAGUCCAGUGUUCAGCUACCCAGGCUACCUGCCUCCACAGGGCUACCUUCCUCCAAAGGGUGACCAAGUUCAAGUCAAAGCCUACUGAACAUGUUGGAGGUGGGGCUCUGAGCUCAUGAAUUGUUCUAUGGAUUUGCUGCCACCUGACUGUUGCAGGUCUCCAUGUUCUAGAAGUUCUACUGCUGCUUCUAACUGUACAAGAUUUAAUAAAUGAUUUUCAGAACUAGCCUUUGUCUCAGUCUUCAUCACUUGAUCCUGAACAUGUCUGACAGCUGUGCUAAAUGAAGGCUUCUUACAGGCAGCAUUGCAUGACUAUUAGCUUUAGUCUUCAAGCAUUUAAAAGCUGCAUCUUGUCUCUGAAGGUCCCGGUAGUGAUUUAGGGAGAAGAACUGGAUCUAAACAUCUCUGUUGGGCCUGCUUCACAUUACAGCCUGCGUGUUUGAGAUUAUUUCUGCUGCUUUUUUUUUUUUUUUUUUUUUUAAAAACCUGAGGUCAAAGUUUUUCCCCAGCUUGUAUGCUUUGAAACCUGUUUGCUUAUGUAAUGUACUUCGAACAUGCCAUCAGCACUUGGUAAGGUGAAGGCCAUUCCAAAUUUGACUGGAAAGAACCCAAACUUCACUGACGCAGCCAUCUGCCUCAACUGUUAUG
ensembl:lncRNA